rnacentral:tRNA from 1 species
GGAUGUGGCUCAGGGGUAAAGCACUCUCUAGCACACGUGAGGUCCUGGGUUCCAUUCCCAGUACAGCCA